AACGCACAUUGCGCCCCCUGGUAUUCCGGGGGGCAUGCCUGUCCGAGCGUCAUUGCUGCCCUCAAGCCCGGCUUGUGUGUUGGGUCUUCGUCCCCCCCACCCGGGGGGACGGGCCCGAAAGGCAGUGGCGGCACCGCGUCCGGUCCUCGAGUGUAUGGGGCUCUGUCACUCACUCCGUAGGCCUGGCCGGUGCCCGCCGACCCCCCGUCUUCCUUUUUUCCAGGUUGACCUCGGAUCAGGUAGGGAUACCCGCUGAACUUAA
rnacentral:misc_RNA from 1 species